CACAGUCGCUGUACAUUUAUGGCAUAAGAUUAUCAGCACAAUUUUUAAUUGUUAAGUUAUGAACAAGCUAAACGUAAUGCAAGAUUAACCCGCGUUUGUUAGUAGCAGUAGUAUUUGCAUAUUCGUGGAGUAUUAACCAGCUUAAUUAAAUGAUUAUACUGUCAGAAUAGAUAUAUGUAAGACAAUUGAGAAUAAGUAAUGCUUGACAGUUAUAGGUUAACUACGUUAGUACCAGUGGGAUGUGGUAACAUGCUUUCAUGUUUCAGGGUUAGAAUAUGUUGAGGCUCUGACACAUAAAGAUUUAUAACGCAUGAGAACAUUUAUGUUAAAGUAGACCGCUGAUCACUAGCUAUGCAUAUUGGGUAAAUCUGUAAACAGGUAGAUCUAAGCUAAUGAGUAUCAUGAGUUAUAGUUACAAAUAACACCAGGAUAGUCAUGUUUAUAUAUCGUAUGGUCCUGUUAGGGAGUAGUGUUCAGAGUAGUGAGAGAGAUGGGAAAACAUGACUGGUAUAAUGUUUGCUUUAGCACGACUGUAUGAUAGGUACAUGUUAAGUAAGUCAGUGCCCUCAUUGGUGUUGUUUAAAGAUCCCCUGUUACCCGGGGGAGGGGGGGAAGAUUUCGAAUGGCUUUACCUGAGUGGCUAUAACGUGCCCUUGGUUGCCAG